rnacentral:rRNA from 1 species
CCUACGGGUGACAGCAGUAGGGAAUCUUCCACAAUGGGCGAAAGCCUGAUGGAGCAACGCCGCGUGGGUGAAGAAGGUCUUCGGAUCGUAAAACCCUGUUGUUAGAGAAGAAAGUGCGUGAGAGUAACUGUUCACGUUUCGACGGUAUCUAACCAGAAAGCCACGGCUAACUACGUGCCAGCAGCCGCGGUAAUACGUAGGUGGCAAGCGUUAUCCGGAUUUAUUGGGCGUAAAGGGAACGCAGGCGGUCUUUUAAGUCUGAUGUGAAAGCCUUCGGCUUAACCGGGGUAGUGCAUUGGAAACUGGGAGACGUGAGUGCAGAAGAGGGGAGUGGAACUCCAUGUGUAGCGGUGAAAUGCGUAGAUAUAUGGAAGAACACCAGUGGCGAAGGCGGCUCUCUGGUCUGAAACUGACGCUGAGGUUCGAAAGCGUGGGUAGCAAACAGGAUUAGAUACCCCAGUAGUC